UUUUUUUUUUUUUUUUUUUUUUUUUUAGGUUUCCUUCAAGCUAUUUUUUUAAAUUAGGUAUUUUCUUCAUUUACAUUUCCAAUGCUAUCCCAAAAGUCCCCCAUACCCUGCCCUCCGACUCCCCUGCCCACCUACUCCCACUUCUUGGCUCUGGCAUUCCCCUGUACUGACUCUCAAGAGUUUUUGACUGAAAUUAGGAGUUUCUGGUAGGAAAAAAAUUAUGAUGUAGAGCUUUGCUUGUUCACUGUACACUUUCCUGUGUUGCUCAGGACUCCUUGGCUCCCGUCUUACCCACUGGAGUAGCUGGAACUGCAAGCACGAGUCACUGUGCCCGACAUUGUGACUAUGUCUUUUAUCUUCCUUGGCAGUUGAAUUCUAUGUUAAAUGGAUAAUAGGAAAUCUUUUCUACAGCUACUACUUUUUUAGACUAUGUGUCUCUUAACAAAUAUCCCUAAGAUUUUGUCAAAAUAAAUGGAGGUUGGACUCAUGUAAAUAACAACAAAACCUUUUUGUUGCUGUUUUGAGACAGGGUCUUGUUAUGUAGCUCUGAGGGCUGUCCUGGAACUCACUGUGUAGAACUCAAACUCACAGAGCUCCUACAGCCUCAGCUUCCCAAGUGCUGAGAUCAAAGAUGUGCACCACUGUGCUUGGCUCUAAAAACUUUUUUUGAGUGAUAAAUGCUUCUCCACUCUGUGUUGUGAAAACAAAAAAGCCCCCUACCCACAAAAAACCCAAAAACUUGUUUUAAGUUUUUUAUUAUUAUAUAGCAGUUAUUUACCACAUAGUGGAAAGUAUUGAAACUUCAAAGUUGAAGCAUGUGAGAGUAGCUUUUUGAGUGUGUAAGCCUACAUUUGACUGGAUGUGAAAUGGAGCCAUGCAAUGAUGAGCGAAGUAUAGUCUGACCUGGUAUUGCCAUUGCUUUGGCGCUGGCUCUGACCAGGGUGUGACCCCUUAAUCUUCUCUCUGAGCUGAUUCUGCUGACCACAUGGGGGUAUUUGAACCUAUGUGGAUCCUGGCUUAUAAUGUGUAAGAGUAUUUCUUUUGUAUCCUUUGAAUUACUGAUACUUUCAUGUUUUCCUUCUUAGGUCCAGGUGAGAAAUCAGGGUUGAAAACUGCAUGGAGGAUUCAUCAUUUCUGCCCUGAAUUGGAAUCAAUUCCUUAUUGACUUAUUAUUACUGUAUUAAAAGUGUUUUUAAUUAACCAUGGUAUUUGUUUGGGUAAGAUCUUUAUUUUGGUAAGUUUUUACCAGAGCUUAUAAAUGAUCAUAUACUCUUCUUCUGGUAAGCUUCAAUAUUUUUAAAUCUACAAGAUGGCUUAUCUAUUUUAAACUUAGUAAAAGUUAUAUCAUGUUCAUGGUACCAGCGAUUAUGCGCUCAAUUGCCAGCAUGAAUCACAGUAGGCACUUGGAAAUUAUUUUCAUCUGGCUUGCAUUAAUGAUUUUUCAGAAGCUGUUUCUUCACCAGCUUGUCCAUCCAAUGUCAUAAAUCUUCCUAAACAAGC